GUGAGAAAACGUGGCGUCAACUGGAAGAGCGUCCUGUCCCGAGAAGGCGGUGUCCACGACUUUACCCUAUGGUAAAGUCACAUGAUCGUGAGUUCCAAAUUGAACGGCUACGUUUCAUCGUUGUGAAAGUACUGUAGUACAAUCUAGUGCAGUGUGCACAUGAGCUUCCAAGAAUGAGUAAGAGAGACAUCGGAGCAUUGAAUGCUAAACUACUGAUUGCUGUAGAGCGCAAGUCACGUGAUGAGGUUGAACGUCUAUUGGAUCUAGGAGCUGAAGCGGAUGCGAGUUAUAGA